UGGGGAAUAUUGCACAAUGGGCGAAAGCCUGAUGCAGCGACGCCGCGUGAGGGAUGACGGCCUUCGGGUUGUAAACCUCUUUCAGCAGGGAAGAAGCGCAAGUGACGGUACCUGCAGAAGAAGCACCGGCUAACUACGUGCCAGCAGCCGCGGUAAUACGUAGGGUGCGAGCGUUGUCCGGAAUUAUUGGGCGUAAAGAGCUUGUAGGCGGUUUGUCGCGUCUGCUGUGAAAAUCCGGGGCUCAACCCCGGACUUGCAGUGGGUACGGGCAGACUAGAGUGUGGUAGGGGAGACUGGAAUUCCUGGUGUAGCGGUGAAAUGCGCAGAUAUCAGGAGGAACACCGAUGGCGAAGGCAGGUCUCUGGGCCACUACUGACGCUGAGAAGCGAAAGCAUGGGGAGCGAACA
rnacentral:rRNA from 1 species